rnacentral:misc_RNA from 1 species
GGCACGCCCGAAGUCGUUACUCCAACCCUUGUGGAGGAGGACGCCGAAGGUGGGGCUGAUGACUGGGGUGAAGUCGUAACAAGGUAGCCGUACCGGAAGGUGCGGCUGGAUCACCUCCUAACAGGGAGACAAAACUGAUCAUGAUGUCUGAGGUUAUCAAGAGAGAUCUUGAUAACACCAAUAAUCUUAGGCCAUGAUCCUGUCAUCUCGAAGGUCGAUCGGUACCUCAGGGAAGCCAAAAGCAAAACCGAAAGGUUGAGGUGUAUGGUUUCCAUCAGUUUCUAAACUUCUGUCUAGGUCACCCCAUAGAGCCCAUCUGGGCCAUUAGCUCAGGUGGUUAGA